AUUGAACGCUGGCGGCAGGCCUAACACAUGCAAGUCGAACGGUAACAGGAAACAGCUUGCUGUUUCGCUGACGAGUGGCGGACGGGUGAGUAAUGUCUGGGAAACUGCCUGAUGGAGGGGGAUAACUACUGGAAACGGUAGCUAAUACCGCAUAACGUCGCAAGAGCAAAGAGGGGGAACUUCGGGCCUCUUGCCAUCAGAUGUGCCCAGAUGGGAUUAGCUAGUAGGUGGGGUAACGGCUCACCUAGGCGACGAUCCCUAGCUGGUCUGAGAGGAUGACCAGCCACACUGGAACUGAGACACGGUCCAGACUCCUACGGGAGGCAGCAGUGGGGAAUAUUGCACAGUGGGCGCAAGCCUGAUGCAGCCAUGCCUCGUGUAUGAAGAAGGCCUUCGGGUUGUAAAGUACUUUCAGCGGGGAGGAAGGUGCUGAGGUUAAUAACCUCAGCAAUUGACGUUACCCGCAGAAGAAGCACCGGCUAACUCCGUGCCAGCCGCCGCGGUAA
rnacentral:rRNA from 1 species